CCUCACUGAAGUCGGGUUUCGUUAACAGCGGGCUGUUUUAUUGUUAUUAGCAAGUUCGUUGUCGACGAAACCUGCAUGCUGUGUGG
rnacentral:pre_miRNA from 1 species